rnacentral:rRNA from 1 species
UACGUAGGGUGCAAGCGUUGUCCGGAAUUAUUGGGCGUAAAGAGCUCGUAGGCGGUUUGUCGCGUCGGCCGUGAAAUCUCCAACGCUUAACGUGGAGCGUGCGGUCGAUACGGGCAGACUUGAGUUCGGUAGGGGAGACUGGAAUUCCUGGUGUAGCGGUGAAAUGCGCAGAUAUCAGGAGGAACACCGGUGGCGAAGGCGGGUCUCUGGGCCGAUACUGACGCUGAGGAGCGAAAGCGUGGGGAGCGAACAGG